AGCAGUUCCUUUCUGUUGAACUUGGCCUGGUUUGCCUCAUCUUGGUUUAUAUGUGGAAAUGAAAGGGGUGUGGCAGCUUCAUCUCCAGAUUCCCCAGCUAGAACCACUCUAAGGUGGGGGGAAGAUUGAACCUUUAUCAUUAUAUGUCUUUGUUUUCUUUUUUCCUCCUGGAAAACACACUUUUAUCCCUGCCUCCAGGGGAAAUCUGUAGCUUAUCUCAAUUUCUUUCUUUCCUAAUGGAAUUUCACCCCUUGCCCUAGAGGUGGAUUGUUGCUAUUCCUCUCUCCAUUUGCUUUACCUGCAGUUGUAUGAUCUGUCCCUUCCCCCAAGGCAGCCUCUCUCUUGCUUUCUACUCUGGGAAUACCUGGGAGUUUCUCCACACAGCUCAAACUCCCUACUGAGUCAUUUAUUUCUUAUCACAGAUGCAAUUAGUUUUCUGUGUGGAUUGAUAUGAGAAGAAUGUUUUUAUUCAAACUGUAAAUUUGCAGAAGAUCAGUGAAACAUAUGAAGGGACAAAAUGAAAAUAUGUUAAUUCACCUGUUAAUAUCUGAACUGCCUUUAGCAUGUUUUGUCUGUGGGAGCAAGAUCUAAUCAACACCCAUAGGUGCACCCAGUGUACCAGGGUGUAUCUUCUCUACAUCCUGUUUUACUCAGCUUUGACUAGAGCUUUCCAAACUGUGCUUUCAAUGUCAGUGGUCCUGCACUGAUGUUUUUUCCCUUGGUACUGUCAUUUUUUCCCUUUCCAAUUCCUGGAAAGCCUAACAAUGGACACUUUCCUGAUUCUACUUUAUAAGCAAUGGCUGAAGUUACCACAAAGAAUUUCUUGUAUCAGCAAUAGCUGCCACAAGUCAGUCUCUCUUAAAAUCUGGCCUACAGUACUAGGCCAGGAAUUAAUAAUGCCCAAAGAGGCUUCUAAAAGCAGAAGUGCCUCCAUCAGUUUUUUGUAUUUGAAAUCCUUGUGUAGAUGCUUAAAUAGCUUUGCAAGCAUUGACCUUUUGUUGGGAUUCCCUGGGCAUGGAGAUUCUUGCCUUCUUCUCUUUUAUCUAUUGAUGGACUAAUUUCUAUUAUAGACUGUUCUGCCCUGCCUUAAGGUUCUUUAACACUAUUUUAAGGACAUUACUUUUAGGCAUCUUAAAAACAAAAAAAGUUUAUUUGUAAGUAACAAUUUCUUAGAUAUUCUCACCCCCUGAUACUGGUUCAGCUACUUGAAUGAGUUCUCAGACACGAUGUCACUUUGAUGAGAAAUUUGAAACAUGUCAAUGCAGACUUCCUGCUGUUUUCACUUCACCUUGAUUAAUUUAGACCUAUUAUAUUCCUCCAUAAGUAUACUUGUAAUUUUUUGCUGACACUGAGGCUUCUGGUGCCUUCAUACUGCCCUUAACAGCAGAAGGGAAUUGCUCUAUCCUGUGAUGGGGGGACUGAUGACAGAGAACUCAGAUGUUUCAGGGUAAAGCUUUUGGAAUUAAGACCCAGUGUGAGGCUUAGGAGAUCCCUGUCCUUGCUCAGUCCUCUGCAUGCUGUCUCAGGGGUUUAGGUAGGUCCUAGAAUUUGUCUGUACCUCGGUUCCCAUUUUUGACAUGGGAAUGCUGAAUGCUGCUCAAUGGACUGUCUGGAGGCAGCUGUGAGACUGUUCAUCAGAAAGUAUUAAUAAUUAAUAUCACGGGGUUGCAAGAGAGGUAAGACUUGUGGUGAGGCUGAAAGUAAGCACAGGACACACUGGCAGCAAGAUCCUAGAAAGGCAGGGAGGCUCAGAAGCCAGAACUGGUGCUGAAGUGAGGGUGGCAGGAAGGGAUUCCCUCCAUCCCUGUGUCUGUUCUUGGAUCACAGCAGAUGGCACUUGAGUCCUGCUUCACCCAUUCCCUACAGGAAAAGGGGCAAAGCCAGGGGGGCUUCUGCAGCUUCCAUGGCUUCCUUUGUGGAGAGAUACUUGAUAAACCAUCAGAAGUUAAUGAUCAAAAAGCUUAUCAGGGUCUUUUCAUCUAUAAAUUUAUAAGACAAAAGAGAAAUAAUAAAGCCAUUGGAUAAUUAGUAACUAGCCAGGGCCCGCCCGGUGCCACUGGGCUCAAACUACCCCAAGACCUGUACGCAGACUCGGGAGGAUGAGAAGGAGACAAGGAUGAAGGGAAGAAAAGAGUGGGAGGCAGAGACAGAAUCAGCCAAGGAGACAACAAAAUGGGAGGAACAGCAGCAGAGACAAAAGUGAGGAGAGAAGGGAAAUAGGUAAAAAGGGUUUGAAAGAGAUAAAGGGAACAGAGGAGACUAAAAGAUGGGACAGAGCUGGAAGUGGGAAAGAAAUGAGAGACAUACUGGGCCAGAAAGAAGACUGAAUUAUUGGGAAUGCUUUCCCCACCCAGACAUGGUCUGCACCCAGAGCACCACGUGGCCUCCCUGCAGGGCGUUAACAAAGCUCAGAUGGACACAGAAGACUUUCUUUGCGUGGCUAAAAAGAUGUAACAGUUCGGAGUCCACGUAAGAACAUGUAAUGAUUCCUUAUACACACAGAAGUCCUGAUGCUGCUGCUUCUGCUUGCCUUGGAGACCUUCAGCUGCAGAGGCUUUUUUUUGAAACCAGUGAACUUUGAAGUCUAUAAACCCAGAAGUGAACAUCUGUCUUUAUGCUGGGACCUCACUGAACGCUACAACUGGAUGCCACGUGGAGAACUGAAUAUGGAAACAUUUCAGAUACUAAGGAGGAGGUAAAUAUUCUCUGUCACCUUAUCCUGAAGGGCUUUUUCCCUUGGUCUGUUAGAAUUGUCCAUUUUAAACUGCAGGACCCUGGGGAAUUAGCAAAAGAACCAGCAAACUUACCCACUUUGAUCUUGCCAUUGACUGGGACCUGCCAGGCUGUGCCACUGAAUGGUUCAGCACUCCUUUAAGUAUUCCAGAUUCUUCAGUGCAGGAAAACCAGUGAGCUUUUCAGUGUUUCUUAAAUGUUACAGAUUUAAGGAAUGGAGGGGAUUCCUGCUGCAAAUUAGCCAGUAUCCCUAUUUUACACCCUGGCACUAAGGAUUGCAACAUCCUAUUUCCCAGUGCUGUGAUGGGCAGUUGUGAGGUGAUGAGAACAGUAGAGGCCAAGGGUGGAAGCUGCAGAGCUUUUACCAGUUAGAUUCUAGUUCUAGUAGUAGAGCAAGAGCUCAGUUGCAGAGUCUGGCCAUAAUCCAGUGUUCUCCUGUAACUGAAUUGUGCUCAAGGGUUGUGCCUUGAGGAUGAAUAUUUGAAAUAAGGGGUCUCGGGCUUGCUAACCCAUCUUCAUCUGUUACCAGUGCUUAGGAUAUGUUGAUUUCCUGAAUUGUAGCAAUUUCCCAGGCCAUGGCUUGAUCCUCAGGUCACUCUGAUUAAUGUGAUCUUGGUAAUGUGCAAGUGGAGACUUUUAAAAUUCAGAGACACUGAGUGAGACCUGCUUGUUUUCCUCAUGUUUGCAGUAUUUGGUUCUGUAUUUUUUCCCCUGCAGAAUGUUUUUCCCUAGGUGUAAUUAAUCUGGUGGUUGAGACCCCUCAAAUUCAGUGUUUCUUGACAAGACAUAAGAAGCUUUACAGCACUAAUCUGGUCAGUUUAAUAGCAAGCUCACAAACAAUGUUACAUUAACAAAUCAGUUUGGAUGCAGAUUGGAAAAAUAUAUCAGUAAUCACAAGAAGUCUGAUUUCUAUUUUAUUUUAAUGGCAAGUUUAAUAAAGAUUAUUUAAACAUGUUCAA